CUGCAGCCCGAGUAGUGGUCGUUAUUAUUGGGCCUAAAACGUCCGUAGCCUGUUUGGUAAAUGCUGGGUAAAUCGUGUGGCUUAACCAUACGAAUACCGGGUAGACUGCCAGACUUGAGACCGGGAGAGGUUGGAGGUACUCCUGGGGUAGAGGUGAAAUUCUGUAAUCCUGGGGGGACCACCAGUGGCGAAGGCGUCCAACCAGAACGGGUCUGACGGUGAGGGACGAAGCCCUGGGGCGCAAACCGGAUUAGAGACCCGAGUAGUCC
rnacentral:rRNA from 1 species